AGAGAGAGACAUGCGCGCAUAUCAAUAAGCGGAGGAAAAGAAACUAACAAGGAUUCCCUUAGUAACGGCGAGUGAAGCGGGAAGAGCUCAAAUUUGAAAUCUUCAAGGUUUUACCUUGACGAAUUGUAGUUUAAAGAAGUGUUUUCUGCUGAAGUUUUGGUAAAAGUUCUUUGGAAUAGGACAUCAUAGAGGGUGAGAAUCCCGUAUUUGACCAUUAUUUUCAGCUUUGUGAUACACUUUCAAAGAGUCGGAUUGUUUGGGAAUGCAGUCCAAAAUGGGUGGUAAAUUUCAUCUAAAGCUAAAUAUUGGCGAGAGACCGAUAGCGAACAAGUACCGUGAGGGAAAGAUGAAAAGAACUUUGAAAAGAGAGUUGAACAGUACGUGAAAUUGUCAAAAGGGAAGCGUUUGACACCAGUGUUGUUUUCUCGAAAAUCAAUUAAAAAUGGCUCGAUUUUGUAUUGUUGAGACCUUAAAAGCUCACUGUACAUUUUUCGUGUCUUUUUUAAUGCACUUUUCGUUUAACAAGUCAACAUCAGUUUCUUUUGUUGUAAAAGGGUCAUUGGAAGGUGGCUUUCUUUUCGGAGAAAGUGUUUAUAGCCUUUGGCCUCUGCAAUCGGAGAGACUUGAGGUCUGCAGCGUAGAUCCUUCGGGGUUAGAUACAUUUGUGCUAAGUUAUAGCCUUUUCAUAGACAACUUGUUGACUAUAAUCAGUCAUGUAGCUUACUCGCUUAGUGCUAUUUUACCUACGCUUAGGAUGUUGAGUCGUAGAGCACGCAG
rnacentral:rRNA from 1 species